rnacentral:rRNA from 1 species
AGUGAACGCUGGCGGUAGGCCUAACACAUGCAAGUCGAACGGCAGCACAGAGGAGCUUGCUCCUUGGGUGGCGAGUGGCGGACGGGUGAGGAAUACAUCGGAAUCUACUCUGUCGUGGGGGAUAACGUAGGGAAACUUACGCUAAUACCGCAUACGACCUACGGGUGAAAGCAGGGGAUCUUCGGACCUUGCGCGAUUGAAUGAGCCGAUGUCGGAUUAGCUAGUUGGCCGGGUAAAGGCCCACCAAGGCGACGAUCCGUAGCUGGUCUGAGAGGAUGAUCAGCCACACUGGAACGGAGACACGGUCCAGACUCCUACGGGAGGCAGCAGUGGGGAAUAUUGGACAAUGGGCGCAAGCCUGAUCCAGCCAUACCGCGUGGGUGAAGAAGGCCUUCGGGUUGUAAAGCCCUUUUGUUGGGAAAGAAAUCCAUCUGGUUAAUACCCGGGUGGGAUGACGGUACCCAAAGAAUAAGCACCGGCUAACUUCGUGCCAGCCGCCGCGGUAA